CAGAAGGAAGCAGGAGGACGGGAGAAGGUAACGCGCCCCUCCAGCGCUCUUUGAUCUCGCAGCCCCACCGGGAGCAUCGCCCCCCAUCCCGCAGCCCGCGGCAGCAGCGGGGAUGGAGCCGGGACAGGUCAGGAUGGGCAGCAACUGGGAUCAUGCUGGAGGCAACUGGGAAAGACUGGGAUCAUUCUGAGAGCUGGAGCUGAGGAUGGAGACCAGGGAGGACAAAUCCCCGCAGCAGAACCUGGUGGAAGAGGCUGAUUUGAGCAGCUCCACAGCACAGGAAUCCAAUGGGGAGGAAAAGCCCUGGAGAUCCCACACAAGGAGGGGCUCCAAAUACAGAUCACAGGGCUUUGAGGAGGAAAGACCCACCCUGGGCCUGGGUGGUGGCAGGAGCUUCAGCUGGAUCUCCAACCUGGUAGUCCAUCAGCAGCUUCACCCCAGGGAGCGGCCCUACAAGUGCUUGGAGUGUGGGAGGAGCUUCAGCCACACUUCCAAUCUCUUCCUCCACCAUUGCGUGCCCAAGGGAGAGAGGCCAUACAAGUGCCUGGAAUGUGGGAAGAGCUUCAGGUGGAGCUCCAGCCUCAUCAAGCACCAGCGCCUGCACACCGGGGAACUGCCCUGUGAAUGUGGGGAAUGUGGGAAGAGUUUCAGCCAGAACUCAUUACUAGUUGAGCACCAGAGGAUCCAUACCAUGGAGAGGCCCUAUCAUUGUCCUGACUGUGGGAAGGGCUUCACUCACAACUUCAACCUCGUCAGGCACCGGCGCAUCCACACUGGGGAGAGGCCCUACGAGUGUCCCCAGUGUGGGAAGAGCUUCUCACAGAGCUCUCACUUGGCCAGACACCAACAGAGGCACAAAUAAGGGAAGCUCUUCGGAUGCCCCAAUUGCGGGAGGAGUUUUGUGUGCUGCUCCAACUUCAUCCCCCACUGGAGGAUCCAUGUUGGAUGAUCCACAGUGACCGACAUUGGAGAGAGACCUAGUGACCACCAUUCCAGGAUAAAGAUGGAGAUGAUUUAGGAUGGAAAAGACCUCCAAGGAUCAUCCAGUGGUGCUCAGUGCCAGCAGAAGAAACAAUUGGACAGACCAGGAUUUCUCAUUCACAAAGUUUGGCCAAAUGGAGGAGGAGGCUGUGAGGAAGAGGAAGAUGGCCCAGGAGCCCCAGGCAGCAGCCACAACAUGUGGAGAGUGGAGAGAUGGAGCCCAGUGGAGGGGCAGCUGGGCGAGCUGCUGGCAGCAGGGAUUGCUCCAAAGGAGGACAGCUGGGAGAGCUGCCAGCAAUGGGGAGAGCUGCAAAGGUCCAGACCGUGUAAAUAGAAGAAGCUGCUGGGGACAAGGGGAUGUAAGUUUCCACUGAAAAAAAGGCUGUGAUUCAGGUAUGGAUUAUCUUUUUACAUAAACAGGGAACAUAAAAUACAAGGAACGGGCUGUACAAGCCCUGUUGUUGUGGUGUAAGAGCCAUGGAUGGGACCCUACCACAGAAGUUGCUUGUAAUGUACAGACAGGGAAGCGGGCUGGCAAUUUAAUAUUUGGCUCAGCCUCACAAGGCAGUGAAUUGGCUAGAGACAUUUUAACAACCUGGUGGCUGGUGCUGGACACUUUAAAACAAAUAAAAGCUAAGUGGAGCAUGAAAGCCACAGCUGAGGCAUCAUGGGCACUGCCCGCCAGAUUAUCCCAUAAGGGCAGAGGGCAGGGGGAAGCAGGGGAAGGAGUAAAUGCCACCUUGGGCGUGUGGGUGGAGAGGAUGGACAAGAAACCGUGGCCCCAUAUCACCACACCUCCAGACCUCCACUGCUGGCAACGGACACAUUUGUGCAGUGCCCAAGCCUGCCUGCGCCGUGGCUGCAGGAGCCAUUGCUGUGCUCUACUCCCCAUAUUGGCGUUAACACGCUCAGCACACCCCUGGCUGCAGCUGAUUGGGCAGCCCAGCCAUCACUUGGCACACCCACCAAUGGCAUCACUACGUGAGUGGAGCCUGGAAAUCAAACUUCGCUCAGCGCCGGAAAUGCUGGUGCAGAGCCAUGAGUGCCUGAACCCAGAAGUGUUGGCAGGAGGUUGCUGGCACAUGGCACUGAAGGACACCACACCUUGCUUCACACACAGUUAGGGGUCGAAAAUCCCAAGGGACAUUUACCACUAAGACUCCCAGUAUCCCAAAUGAGGGGGGAGUCAAGUUACCACACCCUUGCUGACCUGAGGGAAGACGCUUCCAUCAUGCUGCUGGAAUCAGUUAAUAUAUCUACACAUGAUCCGAUCAGCUUGUGGAAGCAGAAAAUUAACAGCCAUCAUGGAUGGGUAUCUUAACGGUGUGGUAAGGAUUUCUGUGCCCAUGCCUGUGUUGUCAUUGGGUGGCCAGGAGCCCACGGGUGGGACAGUCAGAGCAUUCCUGGUGCUAAGAGGUGACAGGACCACAUCUGACAGGUGUGUUCCCCUCAAAUGCCAAGUCCUUUCAGGACUUUGCCAGCUAGCCACCAAACAUGGACUGGGGUCUCUGGCAGUAGUAAGCAUGCUACGAUUUUUAACUGCCAAUGAGGCAACCUUUUGAUGUCAAGCAGAUAGUGGAGCUGCUUUGUACCCCAGUUCAGUAUAUGAUGUUUGAGUCCACCUGGUGUCAAUAUGCAGAGGACUAGGGGCUGAAGAAUCAAGAGGUUCCACAGCAAGAUACACAUUUUGGGGCAGGAGUUUCUCAACUUAUGGCACUGCCCCCUGAUGACAAUCCAAAAUUACAGGCAUGCCUACAUUCUUUAAUAUUGGUACAGGGAAAAGACUUUGGAAUACAAGCCCUGCUGAAGGUUGCAGACAUGGCAACACCAACUCAGAGGUAUUUCAUGAAUAAACAGGGUUCUAAGGAACCAUGCAUACAAUUCAUACUGUUAUGGAUGAACAAGGCCAGACUUUCUUGAGAGAAAAAGGCUCUCAUUUAUUUAAAAGGAGCUACAGGAGACAGGAGGGCCAGGUCUGAGAUAGCCUCAGACCCCCAUGCAACAAGUCAAAAAAUAAGUGUGUCCACCUCACAUACACACUGGGCUCUCCAGAAGUGAGUUCCUCAAAAGAAUCCUGAACUUGACUGAACUCUCAUUUUUAUAACCCCCCUUCAGGUCCAGGAUUGGUGGGCUUUGGAUCCACGAGGCAAUUGGCCUGUUUCUGGUGCUCCCAUUGGUCUUUACCACCAUUAAUGCCUGACCAAUCAUUUCCUUGGGGCGUCAAAUGAUUGGCUAGGUCCUUCAUCCAAUCACCCUCCGCAGCGCUGGUCCCACUGUGCUGACUCUGUCUCUGGAUGCCACUCUGCCCCCCUGGACCACCCCCCCCCGCUACAUCCUGGACCCCCUAGAACCCACAAAGAACACUGACCAACCCCCCUCCAAAACAACAACUCCCCCUCCCAAGGUCACAACAACCAACUCAACCCCAGCUUCAACACAAACUGAAUCUCACUUACAACAAUACAAAGGUUAAGAGAUGCCAUGGAAAACCAAAUAAUGAAUAAUGAUAUAAGUAAUCAAUUAAUAUUACAGUUAGCUUGGGAUAAGGCAAAUGAGGACUGCAAAAGAGCUAUCAAUUUGUUACCAAAAGAAAAUCCAUCCUUAAAUGAAUUAAUUGAUCUGUGUGGUAAAGUUGGGACUGAUUCAUAUAAUAUGGCUUUGUUAGUUGAUUUUUUUGCAGAUGCUGUGGAGUUGUCACAUUGAUGCUAUGGAUGUGGACAACAAGGCCACAUAAGAGCAGAUUGUCCCCACAAUUCCAGCUUACUGGGGACACAUCAAAGACACAGAACUGUGACAGCAAUAGGAAAUUGUAAUAGAUACGUGAAACCCAGUCAUUUGGCCAAGCUGUGUAGGUCAAGUUUCACUUUAAUGGACAGCUUCUCAGUGAGCAGGGAAAUGGGAACAGGAGCAUGAUGGAGAGGCGUGCACAGACACAAGCAUCAUUCCAUUCCCCAGUGUGAGCCUAUGUGACCAACUCACCUGAAAAACCAGAGAGCCGGUAGGUAUGGAUGUUUCCACUGUCAUCACAAUAAUUAUAAAUUCAUUACAGGUACAUAAAGUUCCUCUUGAGGCCUAUAGACCUAUAGGGAGAGGGUUAAGUGCUCUGUUGCUGAGGAGAUCAAGUGCAACAAUACAAGGCAUUUUUGUUUACCCUGGUAUCAUCGAUGCUGUUACACAGGACACGUAUGUGCUAUGGUGUCAAUGCCUUCUCGUCCUGUAACUAUGGCAGCAAAAACUCAUAUCACCCAGCUUAUCCCUUUCAAGUCUUGUGUUCCCAAAACAGACCCAAGGACGCAAGGAGAUCAAGGCUUUGGAUCAACUGGAGAACCUCAGGUGUACCAGACUCAGGUCAUCUCUGAUUGAAGACCAGCUAUGAUUUGUACACUUACAAUGCCUUGGGUAAGUCCAUCUCACAUAAAGGUCAGUCCUGUUAUGAGUAAGAUGUGGAGGUUGGCUCAUGCAAAUGAGCAGGAGUUAUUCAGUGUGGUGGAGAGAGGUUCUGUUAGGGUUGGUGGUUCUUUUGACAUGUACUUUUGUUGUUCCAGUGUGGUUUUGAACCCUUUUCUGUUCUCCCUUCAAUCUCCCCCACCCUGUGUGGUGGCUGCUGGGCACCUCCAGCUGACAGGACUGUUGGGGCAUAUGGGGGAGGGCGUGUGCUUGCCCCUUGUGGGAGGCGGCAGGGAAUGGGGGACACUUGUUGCUGGGAGGCCUGGCAACCAAUCAAGAUGCAAGAAGAACUCCACCAAUGAAAGGCAUGGAAGGACAUAUAAGGACUCCUCAUGAAUAUUAAUGAGGCUGAUGCACAUUUGGGCAUAUAAAAGGUGGAAAUGCCAUUUUUUUAAGCCAAGCCUCUGGUAAGCAGAAGGAGUCUCACUAUGCUGCCAGCGUUGUCCUCCCCUUUGCCUUGCAAUUUUGAGGGGUUCUAAUUAAAUUUUAUUUACUCAUUCCUGCCAGGAGUUUGAGUCAUUUAUAACAGUGCUAUGGUAGAUAGCGGAGUGGACUUUACUAUCAUUUCUGCAGACACAUGGCCUCAAUUGUGGCUUACCACAGCUGUAAUAUCUGUUGUUGCUGGCCUUGGAGGUAUUGCACAGUCAUCUAAGCAGUAAACCUGUGUUGGUAAAAAUCCUGAAGAUCAAACAGCCACUAUACUAUAAGAUGUCCCUUCCCCAUAAGUUAAGUGCUGCCCCACCUAAAUUAUGGGGAAGCGACAUCUUAUCAGCAUGGGGAGUCAGGAUGGGAAUGGAUUUUUAUCUGGGACUACUGUAUUAAAUGGUGUACAACAACCUACCUUAGCCUUGAAACGGCUCACUGAACAGCCUGUGCGGGUUCAACAGUGGCCUCUUGAAAAUUAAAAUCUAAAUGCCUAUAAAUCCCUAGUAUAGGAACAAUUGGCUCAAGGUCACAACAAGCUUUCAACAAGCCUGUGGAACCCACCUGUGUUCAUAAUCAGAAAGAAAUAAUGGAAAUGGAGGUUACACCAUGAUUUAAAAAAGAUUAAUGCUGUCAUGGAGAGUAUGGGUGCUUUACAGUCUGGAAUGCCAUCACCUACUAUACCUGCCAGUUGGGACAUAUUGUUGAUUUAAAGGAUUGGUUUUUAAUUGUUCCCUUACACCCAGGUGGUACUACAAAGUUUGCCUUUACAGUGUCUUCCAUCAAUCAUGUAGUACCAGUUGAAUGACACCAAUGGAAAGUGCUGCCACAAGAAAUGAAAAAUAGCCCCAAAAUUUCCAGUGGUAUGUUGCACAGGCACUCUCAAUAGUAAAAGAACAAUUUCCAGAGGCAUACUGUUAUCACAAUAUGGAUAACAUCCUAAUAGCAACACCAACCAAAGAAGACCUUUUACAAAUUUGCCCAGAAUUGAUGCAAGAAUUUUGCUUACAAAUUGCACUACGAAAGGUACAACAACAACCACCAUGGAAAUACCUGGGAGUUAAAAUAUUAGAUCAGACCAUACAACUGCAAACAAUUCAAUUCUCAGCCAAAUUCAGACUUUAAAUGAUGCACAGAAUCUUUUGGGUAUCAUUAAUUGGGUAAGACCCUAUUUAGGAUUAACCAUCUGUAGCGGUUUUGGUUCGCUAAUUUCAGAUUUCCCUAAUUUUGAGAUUUCUUAACUAAUGUGCUGAUGAAGUGGUAGGCUUCAGUGCUGGGUAAUCACGAAGGCACUCACUUCUUGCUGUGAGAUAGGAGAAAGGCACAGUAGGCUCAAAACUUUAAAAGGAUAUAAAAAAAUUAUUAAAAGUAACUAAAAGGAAAAAAAGUAGUAAGAAUCAAAAUAAACCCUUUAUUAAUAAGAACUUUUCUCCCCCCCUAACAGCUUUUUUUCCCCACUGACAAUGUAAAGAAACUAAAAUUAAGAUUUCUAGUCCAUUUACUACUUCUAAAAUAGUUUUCCUUAAGUUUACUUAGGGAGAGAAGUCUCUCUUGUUAAGGUUAUGGAGACUUCUCUACAAGAGGAAAAAACAGUUCUUUUGUGGUUCUGAAUUUUGUUACGAAUAAUAGCUGCCUGGGGAACCUUGCUAUCGUGAAGUCUUUCUCAUUGUUACAAGCCUUCUUACAGCUUGAUGGGCUAAGUUGACUUAUGGGGUAUUGUUUUAUAAAUGAGCUGUUCAGAGGUAAGAGUUCCCAUUAUCUAUCUUUAAAAUCAUCUUUAUUCUUUGGAAUAGAAGUUUUCUUCUUUUUUGGAAGCACAGGGUUACUCUUCUCUCUUUGUUCAAACUUCUCAUGGGAUUAUAACUAUUUUAACACUUGUUUAUCUUAGUAUGGAGGCUUUUGCUCAACAUUAAUUUGAAAACUUUAUCUCUUUAUAGUUUUAUACAUUAUAGGAAAAAAGUGUUUUUACUUUAUAGUUUACAAGAUUUCAGCUUUUUGUCUUUAACAUGUGUCUUUCACAGAGGCAUGUCUAGCUUCUCAGUAGUUCAACAGACUGUUAGUUACACAAAAAGCUUUGUAUCACUUCCCUGAAUUUGCUCCCAUUCCAAACCAUGACACACCCCACAAUUGGCACCUUUAUUAACAUCCUUUAAGGUGACCCUGAGUUAACCUCAUCAAGAAAAUUAACACCAGAGGCAAAACACGCACUUGAAUUAGUAGAGUGGGUCAUAGCAAACAGGCAAGUGUAUCAGAUAUGUCCAAAAGUUUGUGUUACCGUAUUUGUUUUUAUUGUUGACCUACAUCCCACGGGUAUCAUUGGUCAACGGGACACUCAGUGGUUCGACCCACUACACAUUCUGAAAUGCAUUUUUUUCCCUCACGAACCUAAAAAGACAGCACCUUCCAUAUUUGAAUUAUUUGCACAAUUGAAUAUCAAAUGUUGCCAAAGAGGCUUCCAAUCGUAGGGCCUCUCCCCGGAGUGGCCCUCUGGUGGAGGAGGAGCACUAACAGCAGCAGCACCACGCAGCUCCCUUACCCCUCAGGCUGCAACCCCACUCCCCACCCCCAUUCCAGUGGCAUCGCCCCCAAGCUUGGAACCCGCAGGUGAGAGGGGAGAGGGAGCCUGCCUCAAGUCCAUCCAGGGGUCUCCGGGGGAACUUUUGGCAGGGCAGGGGAUGUCUGCCUAUUGAAGAACCCCAAAGCUGAGUCAGAAAUGCCCCGGAGGAAUCCUGGCGGGGGGGGCCCAUGUGGCUGAAUGGUUUGUGCAGCACAGCCAGCCCGAGCUGUGGAGCCCUCAGGGACACAUGCGAGAGACAACUCUCAGGAAUGGGACUGGGAAUUGGACUGGUAAUAGGGGAUGGGACCAGGAAUGGGGACAGGGAUUGGGAAUGGGGACAGAGACCGGGAAUGGAACCGGGAAUGGGAACAGGGACUGAAAAUGGGACCAGGAAUACAGGACAGGAUCAGGAAUGGGAUCGUGAAUGGGGACAGGGACAGGGAAUAGGACUGGGAAGGCGGGACAAGGACUGGGAAUGGGAUUCAAACUGGAAUGGGAAUAGGAUAGGACCAGGAUAGGGGAGACAUGAGAACAGGCGGGGGGAAGGGGAGUGACAGCGGGGAGUGGGGCAACCGCUACAGGGGAUACCAGGAGUUGGAAUGGGGGGACAUGGGCAAAGGUCCAGGGCAGGGAGUCCUUGAUCAGGUGCCUCAGAACCUCUGCCAGGGUCUCCCCACUCGGCCUAGGGUGCCCAAAGCCCUGAGCAACCCCCAAGUCCCUCCCAGGAAUCCUCACCUCCCUUGAACCCAGCAUCCCCCACAUCCCAUAAAAGAUCCCCCAUGACAACAUCCAUGGCCAUGCCCACACCAUAUCCUCAUACAUGUUUCAGUUCAACAUCUAUUUUGACUCCGGUUUUGAAUGUUUUGAAGGGACAAAGAGAAAUGAAAAGAAAAUCUAGGGCACAAGGAGCCGGGAUGAUGUGGAGCCCUCAGCCAGGUGUCUUCCCAACACGGAUCACUGGUACCAUGGAUCACCGGGGCUCUGCCCACCAUGGGUCCCUAGGGAUCAUCCAGCACAGAUCCUCCCAUGGGGGAUGGAGCUGGAGCAGUGCACGGAGCUCUUCCCGCAGUUGGGCCACUGGCAGGGCUUCCCUUAGUGGCGGGUCUGUUGGUGUUUGGUCAAGUGAGAGCUCUGUGAGAAGCUCCUGCCACACUUGGGACACUCAUAAAACCUCGUCCCAGUGUGGAUGUGCUGGUGGGUGAAGAGGUUACAGUUGUACCUGAAGCCCUUCCUGCAGUUGGGGCAGAGGAAGGGCCUCUCCUCGGUGUCAAUCUGCUUGUGCAAGAAGAGAUGGUAGCUGCUCUGAAACUUCUUCCUGCAUUCGUCACACUCAUAAGGCUGUUCCCCUGUGUGGAUCCUCUGGUGGACAAUCAAUUCAGAGCUUGUCCUGAAGCUCUUUCCACACUCCCCACACUCACAGGCUCUCCCCAGUGUGGAUGAGCCAGUGGGUGACAAAGUGGAAGUUGUAUUUGAAGCCUUUCCCGUAGUCAGGGCAGCGGAAGGGCCUCUCAUGUGUGUGAAUCAGCUGAUGUGUGAGGAGACUGGAGCUGGUCUGAAACCUUUUCAUGCAUUUAUCCCACUCAUAGGGCCUCUCCCCAGUGCGGAUCAUCUGGUGGUGGAUAAGUUUGGAUCUGGUCCUGAAGCUCCUCCCACAUUCCCCACACUUAGAGGGCCGUUCCCCCAUGUGGCUCCUCUGGUGGACAGUCAGGUAGGAGCUCUGGGUGAAGCUCUUUCCACACUCCCCACACUCGUACGGGCAGUCCCCCAUGUGGAUUCUCCAGUGGCAAAUCAGAGAGGAUCUCUUCUUGAAGCUCUUCCCCCAUUUCAAGCACUUGUGGGGCUUCUCCCCAUCCUGAAGCUGGGGACCCCCAGCUCCGAGCUCCAGCCGCCUCCCCAGACCUGGAUGGGUCAUUCCUCCUCAGAUCCCCGUGAUCUGCGUUUGCAGCCCCUCCUCAUGCGGGAUCUCCAGGGCUUUCCCUCACCGUUGGAUUCCUGUGCUGUGGAGCUGCUCAAAACAGUCUCUUCCACCAGGUUCUGCUGUGGGGAUUUGUCCUCCCUGCUCUCAAUCCUCAGCUCCUGCUCUGGGGGAGGAAGGACAAGGAGAGGAUGGGAUUUGCCUCUGUAACACAGGGAAGGGCAAGGAGAUCCCCGCAGUGCAUCCCAAGCAGGACGGCUUUGGCAGCAGGGAUGUCCUGCAGCUGGGGGCCUGUCAGGUGGCCGCAGGGUUUGCAACCCUGACUUGUGUUAAAAGUCUCUGUUUCAGCCCACGUGUUCAAAGGGUCAGUUGAAGCUCUUCAGUUUUUCGGUCUCAAGGUUGUUUAUUGUAUCUUAUCUAUAAAAUUUUCCUCCUGCCCAGCUGAGGUCCACUCAGCAGGACAGCCAGAGGCACUCUGCCUGCCCCCAGGGCAGUGUUACCUUUAUAUACUAAAAAAUUACAUGUACAAUUGUUGUAGUUUGAGAGGAAGUGAGUUUUUUGAGAUGUUGUAGUCAAACCAAUAAGUACUCAGAUUUGAAUAUUAGCACCUGGUAUAGCCACUGAAAACAUGAACACGCCUCUGAGAACACAGGGGGGUUAAAAGCUGAGAACUCCCAGGGGGAAGUUGAGUUCCAUCCGUGAAAGAGAUGGAAGAACACGAUGUGUACCUCAGGGAGAUCUCAUUGUUGGGUGAGACCUACGUGUAAAUAUCACUGUUUGCUAAAUGUUACUACCAUUGUCUGUGUAUAGCUGUAUAUUGAAUGUCUGAUGUAUGUGUUUAUAGAGUUAGAAUAUAUAUAUUAGUUUUAGUAGUAAGCUGAUGAUAUAGAGAUAAACAUGAACAUGCCUCUGAGAACACAGGGGGGUUAAAAGCUGAGAACUCCCAGGGGGAAGUUGAGUUCCAUCCGUGAAAGAGAGAUCCUAGAUCAGAUCCCCCUGCCCGGCUCUGAGCUAGGCGGGGGAGGGAAGCCACGAGGCCUGACUGAAGUAAGCCGGGCCUGGGACAGAGAAGAGAAGUGAAGGCCCCUGCAAGAUGGAAAAGUAGAAGAAGCCUGAGAGGCUUCAGGCAGCCCCUCAAGGAGAGAAAGAGAGAGAGAGAGAGCUGGUGUCUGUGCCUGUGCCACCUUGAAAUUUGAUAGCAUGGCCAUAGUGAAGGAGAAGGGUGGGGAGUUGUGGUGAGGUGCCCGGCUGGGAGUUCUGGACAGGCAGAGCCUGAGACUUUUAACUCUUUUCUUGGAUGCUGGAAACCUUGCAAAUGCUGAUUCCUCCUGGAGUUGAAUGAGAAGAGAGACAGAGAUGAGAUAAGAGGAAAUGGACCACCAGAGAAGCUGAAAAGAAUCUUAGGUGGGAGGAGGUGAUGGAGUAGCCUUUGGCUGGACUUUUCUUGCAUGGCCACGGACAGAAUCAUUUUUUUUUCCUGUGACACAGAGACUGCAUUUAGGCGGGAGGCAAUAGCUUAGAGCCAAGAGAGUGCAGUGAUGUGAUGUGAAGGAGUGUGUGAACAGAGACGACGGGUGAGGAGGGUGGUGGUGGUGCCCUCCAUCUUCAGAUAAGAAUAAGAAGAAGAUGAUCUCUGUUCUUGAGACCCCUUGGCCCCAGGGAGUGAAAUUUGGGGGGGACAGCUGUCCCAAAAGUGAGAGACUGUGCUCUUUUUGGAACUGGGCAAAGCACCCUUUAAAAAGGAAAACCCUAGAAGCAGCUCUGGUCCAUGUGCAGUGGUGAGAGUACUGGGCAUGGAAAGAAGAUGUCACGAUAGCAAAAGGAUCUCCAGGCAGUGCCACGUGUGACAUAAAAACACAAGAAGUUUCAACUGUAUAUCCUGGGGAAGCCUAUAGUACAAGGGAGACUCUUCUCUCAUUAAUGAACUGAGAAUUAAUUAUCUGAAAAGUAGUGCUAGACUGAGAGUGGGUGAUCUGAGGAGUGAAUGUAUUAGAAAUUUAGUGGGGGGAGAAAAUUGUUUUUAGAAAGUUUUCAUCCUGAGUUCUGUGUGUUUCUUUUAUAGUUGUAGGUUAAUAAUUUUUUUCCUUUUUAUUCCUAAGCUGGAGCCUGCUUUGCUCUAUUUCUGAUCACAUCUCACAGCAGACACCAGAGAAAAAGCAUUUUCAUGGGGGCACUGGCAUUGCACCAAGCUCAAACCAUGACAACAAUAUUUACAAUUACUUUCCAAUACCUAUCAUCUAUGUUAGACAGUGAGCUUCUACUCUAAACCAAUCCAAAAGUGCCAACAUCACCAGUGAAGAUGGAGGUAGAGAAGAAGAAGAAAGGCUAGACACGCCCAAAUCCCUCCAUCUUGUCCCCAAAAACCCCUAUACUAAAAAUCCCAAAACCUACAUUUACACCCUGUGACAACUUUAUUAUUACACUAUUUGAACUGC